UACAACUCACAGCGGAGGUUAUGAAGUCUCAACAGCACGAGGCAUUGUAUGCCUGUGCUGCGGACAAGAUAACUCACGGUGAUUCUGCGGACAACAAGAUAAAUCACGGUGAUUCUGCGGACAACAAGAUAACUCACGGUGAUUCUGCGGACAACAAGAUAAAUCACGGUGAUUCUGCGGACAACAAGAUAACUCACGGUGAUUCUGCGGACGGCACAAGACGCGUCGUCACCAUCAACCUGUAUAAUAUCAUAUCAUAUCAUAUCGCAUUUGUAUUGCUAGUUCAUGUGUACGUGGUGACAACAGUGCGUGGCCACCGUCUGACUGUCGUCUCAUGCAUUUUAGCGGUGGGUGGUAUUUUCAUGGCUGUGUUCUUAUUGAGCGAUUGCUAGUCUCCUUGCUGAUGCCUUGAGGAUAAACUACCCGUGAGUAUGCUAGGCUACCCGAGGACUGCGAUCGACAGGCCCAGCACGAACGCUGCGUUCAGGCAGGCGCAGAGCGCGUCGAAGCCGCUGGCUUUCUUCUCGCGAAGGUUGCUUUUGCCAUCGCCCUCCGCAGCCGGUUCAGUCGCGUUGACGGGCGCCUCGAGACCCUCCUUGCUUUUAUUGGACGCAGCGGACGCUGAGGGGUUACCUUCUUCCUUGCUGGCAGGAACAUCACCACUUGGAGCGGCGGUUACAACACUUGGCGCUGUCGUGACCUUGAGGGCACUGGGCGUUUUGUCCACACUCAUUCUACUUCCAGGCUGUUCGGCACUCAGCGCUGCAGCUUUCUCCAAGCCACUUGACGUGGUCGAAGGCAUGUCAACAGUUGGCUCCGCGGUCGCCAUAUUCUCAGUGGCCAGCUUAUCGGUAGGAUACUGUUCACCGGCUGCCUCACGUACAUCCGUGGAAGCAUCACCUUCGACGCCUGGUACGGCGGUCUCCGCACUGCUUGCACUAGCAUCACCGGCACCCGGCGAAAUGGCAUCUUCGGCUGACCCCGCUGGUGGCGUGGUAGCUCCACGUGACUCUUCACUACUUCCCGAAUCACCGCCGGCGAGGCUAAUCAGUCGGUCUGCAACGUGGCUCAUCAUUUCGCGUCUGUAACCGAUGCUUUCGAACGAGGCGCCCAGCAGGAUUCCAUUAUGAAUGUCCGCUCUGAGCUCGAAGUACGCGUGCCACAGCUGCUCUCUGUCAGCCCCGGAUUCAGACGCUACAUUGCCCUUCACAAAUCUCAGGAGCCCACGCACUCGCUCCGCAUUCGUGAUCAAGUCACCGAACUGAUUCAAAACCAGGUGCAUCUCAUCCUUAAGGUCAUCGUAUUUUGCGCGCAUACUUUCGAAGACAGUUGAAGAGGCGGCAGAAGAGGGGAUGGAGGCCAAGGCUUCGCCCACUUUGGCCAUCUCCAUCGCCACCGAUCCACGCAAUUUCACGUAUGGACCCAGGUACCUAUCCAGGGCCCGGCACGAUUCGGAAACGAGGCGCGCAAUUUCAUUCAGAAGCUCUGCGGGCGCAUGCACCUGGGUCUUGGCAUCUUUUGGCACGAACGUGCGGUGCAGGUCCGCGUAGAAGUCAAGCAUGAGUCCGCGCACGGCCGACGUGUUGGCAAAGACACGGUGCGCCCUUUUCGAAAUACAAGAGCCUACGUAUUCGGAUAUGUACUCAUUUGCAGACGACGUAAGGUGCCUUUUGCUGUAGGCGUCAAUUUCAUCAAUCUUUGACUUCGACCUGUCAAUCACACCACUGAUCACGUCAGUGGUGACCUGCAGUUUAGCCAACCCGCUUCGCCAAUCCCCGCUACUCGAGUCACGCGGAAUGAGUUCCCCAGAGGAUACAACCGUUAAGUUAGCUCGCACAUAUUUGGUAUCCUUCACCGCAUCCCUCAACAGGCUUUUGGUGUAGACAACGAGCAGCGUCAGCUCCGCGUGGCUGGCGUUGUGCGGCAGUGUCGGAUCGAAGUGGUCCAAUACGGCUUCGUCAGUGACCUCGGGUGCUGCCGCAUCGGAAUUGGCCACCGCGGCUUUCGCCAUGGACUCGCGCAGGAGGUUUACCUUCGCCUCGAACUCAUUGCGUUCUUCCUCAGUCAUGACCCGGUGUGGGAGCACAUCCGUCAGGAUGCUGGCAAUCUUGU